CCUACGGGAGGCAGCAGUGAGGAAUAUUGGUCAAUGGACGAGAGUCUGAACCAGUCAAGUAGCGUGAAGGAUGACUGCCCUAUGGGUUGUAAACUUCUUUUAUAUGGGAAUAAAACGUUCCACGUGUGGGAUUUUGUAUGUACCAUAUGAAUAAGGAUCGGCUAACUCCGUGCCAGCAGCCGCGGUAAUACGGAGGAUCCGAGCGUUAUCCGGAUUUAUUGGGUUUAAAGGGAGCGUAGGUGGAUUGUUAAGUCAGUUGUGAAAGUUUGCGGCUCAACCGUAAAAUUGUAGUUGAAACUGGCAGUCUUGAGUACAGUAGAGGUGGGCGGAAUUCGUGGUGUAGCGGUGAAAUGCUUAGAUAUCACGAAGAACUCCGAUUGCGAAGGCAGUUCACUGGACUGCAACUGACACUGAGGCUCGAAAGUGUGGGUAUCAAACAGGAUUAGAUACCCCUGUAGUC
rnacentral:rRNA from 1 species